GAAUUGUGUAGACUGUGCCUGAAGGGAUAUGCAUAUGGGUGAGGCUACCAGGUUAGAUGAUUUUGAGGAUUUAAGGUAGUAUUCAGACCAUCAUCUUCUUCCUGUUCUGCAGGAUCAGAUUUCCCUGCCUGGUAAAAUCUUUGGGUACUGACUCAAGCUAGUCUGUGGGCAUCACAUGCAGGCAGCAGAGAUCUUCAGAUUCAACCACCAGAGUGUUUAGGAUCUGAUCUGAACACUGAAAAAUAUAUUUUCCUGAAUGUAGCCACACUGGACUCAUUAGAAGCAUUUAUGAAGUAAGAACACAGCACUUCAGCUUGGUAUAAUCUUAUUCCGCACAAAAGAUCUGUUGCCUACAAACAUUUGACAGGCUAUGGCUGUGGACCAUCUUGUAGCGAAGUUGGAGACCUCACCUACGAGUGGACAUGCUGUGUAGGAUGACCCAACUGCCAGGAAAGGUUCUCCAAAACCUCGCUGCAACCGGGGCUCCCCAGUGACUGCAGAUCUGGAUGAUGGAACUGAAACCUAGUCAGAAGAGGAAUGCCUCCCCCUGUUCACCUAAGCCAAGAAGAAAAGCUACUAACAUCUGCAUGGUUACGGAGAAAAAUAGAAACGGCAGUGCUCAACUCACAAGGGUAUUAUUGUGAAGAUCAUUCAUUCAUUUAUCUGAGUUAGAAAGUAUCACAGAAAAAUCUUAAAGCAUAAAUAAAUGGGACAUGGCUGGGGUUUUCUGUUUGGUAGGAUUUCUUACACAGUUUAUAAAGUAUAGCAUCUCAAACUUUUAAGAACUGAACAUAAAACUUGAACAGCUCUGUGAAAAUGGGCAUACUAUAUCUGAAAAACAAAAUGACAUUUACUGUCUUAAUUGAGUUAGCACACAAGUGGCAAAGCAAAUAGCAGUAUAAAAUUAUGAUAGUAGUUGUUCAGAUCUCUAGUCUUCUAUAAAAGCAUGGGAAAUACGCUGCUGUGGUUUGGAGUGCCAGGAGACAUUUACAGGCAGGCAAAAAGAGAAAGCUCUACUAAAUGUCAAUUUUAUUGUAGGGGAGAAACAAUAACUCUAUGUAAUAAACAAUUUGAAUCCAAAUCUGUAAUUAAUAUGUUGCAGAUACACCAAAAAAUGUACCUGACUGUUGUAUUCUCAUUAGGAUUUGCUUUUUUAGUACCCAUAUUAAAUUACACCCAGUUUG
ensembl:lncRNA